CUUGCCGAUCAUACCAGCACUAAAGCACCGGAUCCCAUCAGAACUCCGAAGUUAAGCGUGCUUGGGCGAGAGUAGUACUAGGAUAGGUGCUUGGGCGAGAGUAGUACUAGGAUAGGUGACC
rfam:Hordeum secalinum clone HSEC018 5S ribosomal RNA gene, complete sequence.